UUUGGUGAAAGGUAAUUCGUUUAGCAUUUGCAAAAAUGUAACUUUCCAAAAUUAAUCUCUCGUAGAAUCAUUAUUCAUUAUCUUUAAUCUAAAGCCAGCUACUGACCGAUAAUGCAGUCAACAUCCAAAACUUUUCAUGUUUCACGGCAUCGUUUAUCCGCAGUUAAGGUUACAGAUGGCAGUACUUCUGAAGACACAUAGUUUUCAGAUAUCUGGAGCCGAUGUUUCUUUCAUCGUCAAAUAGCAGCGGUCAUCCUCUAUUCAUCCUUGCAGUGAUGUCGAAGUUUGUGUUGAACAGCAAGCAAUCAUCUUGUCAGAUAAGUUUGAGCAAAAUUUUCCUGGGCAAAAUUUCAACAACAUUUUUAUGUCCUUAUCACCAUUCAAAGCUCAUUGUAUGGUUACAUCUUCAAGAACUGGAUAAGGAGAAGAGAAUGCCCUUGAAUGCCUAGGUGACAAUUUAUGCUUUGCAUAUCUAUACAAAGCUGUAGGAGAAAAGAUAAGUUCUGAGAAUUCAAGAACGAGAAACUUGCUUCUGCAGGGUUCUGUAUUAUCCCUGUCCAUUGGGUCCUCAGGGACUGAAAAGGUCCUGCUAUCAUUGACCGGAUACUUGUCCCAAUCAGCGACCCUACGGUUUAUUGUCAUUACUUUGAGAUGGACCACAGGUAUACCAUUAUUGUAGACUUGUAAUGUAGUAGCUGAAGUGUCAAGCUCAUCCAUGACGAUGAUUUUAUUUUUUUCUAAAUAUAUUUCAACAUAAUCCUACGUAUCUAAAAAAGAGUGACAGGAGAAAAGUGAAGGAUAACAAGAAUGUUUCUUAUUCACCCAAUCCAUAUGGUUGGUAUGUUUAGUGACAAGUGGAGUUAUGGGCAGCGUUCAUGCAUGCUGUUAGGCUCUACCAUGUAGGUUCAGAUAUUGAAGAUUUUGCAAGCAUCAGUUCAUGAUUACACAGCUCAAGAAAGGUGUCUAUGCCUCCUUUCUUGUUUUCUUUAAACUGUGGUCCCUUAGGCCUCCACAGCACUUUCAUCCACCUAGCAAAUAUCUGUAUGUCUGAUCAUCUGAUGCCCUGCUUUGUGGAUGCUCCAUGUUCAUCAACAAUCAUAUGACAUGGUUACAUGGGCCUUUAGCACAUUUAAAGUACUCACGUAGCCAUGUGUGGUGUCUUCCAAGUAUAAAGACAUGGCUUCAUGUUACUGCAUUGUUCUUCGUCGACGCUGAAUUUCUUGUUUCCUACUGAUGAUGCCUUCAACCAGGGCGGAUCAUGAAGCAGUCUUUUUGCCGUGUCAGGCACUGUUGGACAUGCUCACAUAAGAAAUCAUUUGCUUAUAUUCACAUUGUGACAAUCUUCAGCUAGGAAUCCGGGACUGUGCAAUGGCGGCUGGACCGAUAAGAACGAAGGAGGAGAAGAAAUCCUAGUAGGAUGGAGCUAUCAGGAAGUAAUUGGAGUUAGGACUUUGGAUAAGGAAAUUGCGUGAGGCAAGCUGCUAGCAUGGCAUGGCAGGUACAGUUGCAUGAAGCAGCCUUAUCCAGGACGAACACUUUUCAUAUGUGUAUAUCCUUUGCCUACCCCGAACAUGGCAGGUACUCUUUGGGCAUGUGGGUGCAGCAUUAAAAAUUGUGGUAGUUGUUGAGUCCUGUGGAUAAGAGAGGUCUUAGGCGUUGAAAUUUGUCGUCAGUGCAGUCUAAAGCGGAUCAUAAUCUAUUGAUUAGAUCACUGAUCUUUCGUCAGUAUUGUAUUGAGUAUAUGGUGCUUGCUUUGUUAUACAUGAUGCAAGGUUCCUCUGCCUGGAUUAGGUGUUGGAGCUGCUCUGCCACUUGGAACCUGGAACUGCAUCCUUUUUCCUUGUCAGAGGAGGUGAGCAGAAAAGUGUGUAAGAGGAUAGUAGCAAGGGAGGAAGGGCUAAAUCUUGCACGUAGCAUUUUGGCAGGCCAAAUUUCUUGUCGUUUUGGAUGCUUGGGUAAAUGACAAGUGAUUUCGCCUCACUGAAUUAUAUGUGAUAUCAUAAAGCCUCAGACCCUUAUUAUGCUAGUUGGGUAUUAGUUCAAGAUGGCUUUUUUUUUUUUACUUUCACACUGUCAAAAAUAUGUUGCAGUGAAUUCUUUCGGUCCAUGUUGCUAUAGUUUUUAUGGAUAUGUUGGUGGCAAGCUGGAGUCCCUGUAAGUUGUGAUAAGGCUCGUCUGCACUUUCUCUUCUCUUCCUUUGGUUCCUGCAUUUUAUAUGAUAAUAUGGCAGGUACCAGUAGUGAAGCGUUCUGAACCUGAAUUCUUCCUGGCCAUAAGAUUCAGAGAUGCCAAACAGAUGAGAUUUGGAUUGGGUCACAGCGGUUGCAAGGAGCUUGAUUCGCAGCAAGUGUCAUCGAUGAAAAGCAUAUAGAACAGUAUUUCAUCAAAAUGGAUGGAUACAUUUUAUAGCUGCAUCUUGGUUACUACUUUUCACUGUCACUUUCCGAGUAUUUGUCAUCUUGCAGCAAGAAAGGACGGAAACAGAGAAACAUCAGAUAAAAGGGAGAAUCUGAAAUUUCCGUCUUCCCAGAUCCUAUUAUCUGUUUAUUACUGUUAGUCUAUUGUUGGCUGUAACUUUUAUUUCUUCAGUUAAGGUUGAUAUUUGACCUUUUCUGCCUUUCUUCAGUCUACUCGACUGUCCAUGUCCAGGCGCCUUGCACCAUGCAGUUGGUGGAUAUGAACAGAUGCAAAGAAAGGAACAUAUCCUUUUUGCCCAUUUACUUUCGUUUUGUGUUGAUUAGUUGCUUGAAAACUUUACAAGUGCUAUUCAGAUAGGUAAAGUUGAACAGUCAUUUGGGUGAACUUUUUGAAGAAUUAUGUUCUGAUGUAGUUCGAGGUCAAAACUUUACAGGGUUAUUCCCCAGUUACCAAGAUCAAUAUCUGACUUUUUAGGAUGACAAGAAGUGUAUGGUCCAAAGGAUGAUAUGAUUGGAUUGAAACUGUUGUCAAGACUCGACCACGGUUGUCCAGGUUAGUUAGCAUUUGGCAUAGCAAGAUGCCUCCACAUAAAUAAAGAAAGAGGAGCCAGAUCGAGAGUUGGUAUAGUGCUGUUGAGGGGUUGCUUUCAGCACUCUUAUUCUCUUUGUGAUUGCCACCAAGCCUGAAACUCCCUCUCAAUGCAAUUCAUACCAGUGCUACCGUUAUUUUUGUUUUCACAAUAUGCAUAUCAAGAUGAGUGAUGGUAUAGGCAUGAAUUGAUGCUUCUUGAUCAAGCAACAAACAUGGACUUUUGGUUGCCUAAUACAUGACCUCAUGCUGCCAAACAGCAUCUGUCGCUUCACUUGUCAAUCCAAAGAAGUUGAUAUGUCUCUCACAAUCUUAUCCAAUCAACUACCCAACCAAGAGCCUAUUCAGAGGAGUUAAAGUUAAGUGCCAAACUUCAGCACAUACUAGGACUCAUGCACGUGCUAAAGUUUUUGAGUCUUGGCUAAAGUUUAGCCUACCCUAUUAGCACUCCCGUUUGGAUAAGCUAGUACUAAAGUUUAGCACUUUCAUCCAUUAGCACUUGGAUCCAAAUAGAGCCUAAAUGAUAAACGGUACCUCAUUCAGCUACGGAAUCUGUUCAAAACAGCUGAGGAACAUGCAUGAUAGGAACAUGAGUGAAUGCCAACUUGGAAAAAAGGGUUUUUGUUUGAAAUGUCUACAUCAAGGGAAUGCUUUUAAAUUCUAAGUCAUGUAUCUGUACGGCUGUACCUUGUUAAUCUGUUAACGCCCCAGGGCUAGGAACAUGCAUGAUAGAAAAAAGUAUACACACAUCAUACCAUCAGCAUGAAAAGGAAACUUCUUUAUGUGGUCCCAUGCCCUUCCCUGAACAUAAUGCUUGUGUAUCAAGCGUGCCUUUUGCUACUCUCAGCUGCCAGUUCAUCUUUUCCUUCAUAUCUCAAGCAUAAUUUCAGGUCCCUUCCUCUCUUGAACAGCAAACCUUCGUAUCUUUUCUUCUUCUUCUUUUUUACAAUGGCAUUCCUUCAUAUCUUGAGCCUGAUUUCCUCUAGAUCAUGUAGACGCAUUAACUUCAAAAAAAAUAGUCACAUUAGAGAAACAUGAGAAUUCUUGUGAACUGAACACUAUCGAUUAGAUCUAACCACAGUACCAAAUUGCUUAGACAUGUAUAUGCAGGUGAUGAGCGAUGAGUUGGAGUUGUUGGCGUAGGCGUGUGCGGCCAAACUGAGGGAUCUCACGGUAGUCAAUUGCUGUGCUGGUAUUGUCUGUCUUUGGGUCCUAGGCCAGUUUCCAAACAUGGCGGGCACGGCGGAACCCCACAUGGAACCAGCUGCACAUGAAAGAACUGUUCAGACAUCAGAGAUGCAGGAAGGGAAGGCAAGGGAAGAUCUUUAUGGGUCAUGCGCAUGGUUUUUCUUCCAAAUAUUGGAUACAGUUUCUAUACAGCAUGUGCAUGCUGUGCUGUACUUCCCUUGAGCAUUUCACAUUUUGGAGGCGAUGUUUAUCUUCUUUCUUUCCCGGGAAGUGUUUCUAAUUCCAACUUUGAUCCAAUCUUGAUUUGGCAUGUGCUGUGAGUCGAUUGAGCAUUACUUAUUUUUGAAUAUAAUGUUCUUUUAUAUCCACAUACACAGCAGUUGAUCCAAUCUUGAUGCUGCACAUGGUAUAUCUCUUAUGUAUUUCUCGUUGUGCCAGUAAUCAUUUUUAUGUACACACGAAUGUACAUUCCAUCCUGACGUUUUCAGAAAUUUACCAUUUUGCAGGUAAUUGCUUCUACUGCACACGGAUGUUUGUUGCCACAGUGGCCACAUCUUUGAAGUACUUCUCAAUCUCAGGCAACAAUUUCUGUUUCAUACUUUCGUCUCUUCCACUGGAUUGGAAAGCAAUGUCUCAUACAGCGAGGCCAGGACCUUUGCUUGCUUCAGCAAUGCUACUCUGUUCUGUAGUCAUGAGUUCAAGACUCAUGAGCACGGCAUGUUUCUAUACUCCAAAUAUUGUUAGCUCCUUCACAGGAUACCCAAAGACAUGACCAUGAUAUCUAAAUAGUCAGCGUUGGUUCCUGUUAACGAGAAGGCUUCAUUUAUACUUUUGCUUCUGAUGCAGAUCCGAUCGUAUAUCGGUUGGAUGAGUUCUGUUUAAGAAGCAUAUGAUGACUAACCCAAGUUGAGGACCGUAGUGUCAUGAUCCACUGCCUCUAAUGAAGCUGCCUUUCUGUCUCAUAUUUUGUUUUCUGGUACUAGUCCAGUUUGUUUCAGUGGCACGCUGAUGAUGUUGCUAAUGAUGCAACCCUGUGUUGCUGCUGGGAGUGAUGAUCUAUCGGAAGCUUUUGGUUGGUGAGAGAUCUCGCUCAGGUGGUGGCGAUCAUAGAAUCCAAGCUUUUUGUGUGUCGCCGAUGGAAAAAGCGAGAUGGGUAAUGGGUUCCAGGACAACCGGUGGCGCGACCGCCACCGCCACGCCGUAUCUUGUUAUCAUUCACUGACGUGAUGCUUGCAACGGAAAGGCAGCAAGAAGAACAGCCUUAACGACUGAUCCGGUGGUGCCGGCUAAUCAGGUUUAGUCACCACAAACUUACAACCUUGGAAUUAGUUGGAGCAUCCAUCCUUUCUGACUGAUGGCUACGUAUUGUUGUCGCUGCCGCGUGUGAGCACCUCGCAUGGCAUCAGUGUGUCUGUAUGCGUGUUGAAAACAAUACUAGGUCAAAAAUUAAGUGUGGCACGCUAACACUUAAUUCGGAAA